GUCUGUUCAGUAUAAAAUUCACCAUGAAGUUCUACAAAUUGUUCGUAUUAUUUUUGGUCGUCAUUCUCAGUUGUUCUAUCGUAGAAGCAAAAGGAGGAAAAUGGAGGAAAAAUUUCAGGCGUAUUAAAGGUGGAUUUAAUCAUGGAGCUAAUGCUGCACAAAUUGGUUACACAUUAUACAACAUCUAUAGAGAUCAUCAAGGAUAGUCUUAAUAUUACAAUAUUUUAUAUAAUUAAGAAUAAUCUAAACAAUACUUUUAUUGUCAAAUAUUUUAACAUGAUA